rnacentral:rRNA from 1 species
UACGUAGGGUGCGAGCGUUAAUCGGAAUUACUGGGCGUAAAGCGUGCGCAGGCGGUUAUAUAAGACAGUUGUGAAAUCCCCGGGCUCAACCUGGGAAUUGCAUUUGUGACUGUAUAGCUAGAGUACGGUAGAGGGGGAUGGAAUUCCGCGUGUAGCAGUGAAAUGACGUAGAUAUGCGGAGGAACACCGAUGGCGAAGGCAGCCCCCCUGGGCUAGCACUGACGCUCAGGCACGAAAGCGUGGGGAGCAAACAGG